GACUCGUAUUGAUGGUUUGAUUUAAAUGUUCAAAGUUUCCAAUUUUUAGGUUUUAUUUUGUCUAAUGGUUCAUUCUUAUGCAAAUGUGAAAAGGGAGAUAUUCUAUUUUUGGGUUAUAUUAGAUUUGAUAUUCUAUUUUGUUAGGUAUGAGUGUGUAUCAAGUAUUGUUAUGUUGAAUAUCAAGUAUUUUUAUGUUGAUUAUUUCUUUGAUCUCAUAUUGUUUCUUAAUGCAGGCAUGUGUACAGUAUGAGUGUGUAUCAAGUAUUGUUAUGUUGAUUGUUUCUUUGAUCUCAUACUAUUUUUUGAGUAUGGUAUGAGUGUAUGCUUAGAGGUUUAUAGCCAGGUCAAAGGUAGUUCUUUCCAUGGUUGCUUUGUUGUUUUCUUGUGUUAUCAUUAUUAUUCUAUUUUUUGUUGAUCUAUUCAAGUUUAAUUCUCUGAGUAUAUUGUGAUCUAUUCAGGUUCUUGUAGUGUUGUAGUAUAUAUAAGGAGUCUUGUUUGUUAUUCAUAUUUAGAGUUUUAGUUUAGUAGAUUGAAUAUUACAUCCUAAGAACUUUUUUUUACAACACUGUUGGAUAGGUAGCUGCUGUUACUAGAAAGCAUAGGUAGAUCUAUGCUGAUAAUGAAAUCACAGGUUUUGGUUUAUCUUUUAAGUUCAAUUUUUAGUUUACUGAUGGGUGGCAGUCUCAACUUUUUGCCAGAAUUAGAGUAUACAGAAGACAUGGAACUUGAUACGGUGCACACGGUAAUAUUGACACUAAAGGAAGGGUAGGGUCAUGUCCUUUCAAGUUUAUACAGUAGACAAAAUUUUAAUGAAAUAAAAUCAUUUACUAUCUAUCUACUAGGAGGGCCAAAAUAAAUUUUAUACCAUUUGAGCGUUCACUUUUGCUUUAGAGUUAUGGUUUUAACUUGAUGAUAAGCAUUUGACAAAGAGCAUGAUUUGAAGAAAGGUAAUUUUUUUAGAGCAACUUAGUUGUAGCGUGGGCAAGAAUGUCAAAUUCAAAGACAUAUUCCAAGGACAACGUGAAUAUUUAGAAGAGCUAAAAUAGUAAUUGAAUCAUCAAUCAAGCCUAGAAGCGUAGUU